rnacentral:rRNA from 1 species
AUUGAACGCUGGCGGCAGGCCUAACACAUGCAAGUCGAACGAGUGGCGGACGGGUGAGUAAUGUCUGGGAAAAUGCCUGAUGGAGGGGGAUAACUACUGGAACAGGUAGCUGAUACCGCCUACCAUCGGAUGUGCCCAGAUGGGAUUAGCUAGUAGGUGGGGUAACGGCUCACUAAGGCGACUAUCCCUAGCUGGUCUGAGAGGAUGAACAGCCACACUGGAACUGAGACACGGUCCAGACUCCUACGGGAGGCAGCAGUGGGGAAUAUUGAACAAUGGGCGCAAGCCUGAUGCAGCCAUGCCGCGUGUAUGAAGAAGGCCUUCGGUUUGUAAAGUACUUUCAGCGGGGAGGCGUUACCCGCAGAAGAAGCACCGGCUAACUCCGUGCCAGCCGCCGCGGUAAUAC